AUACUCUGGUUUCUCUUCAGAUCGUAUAAAUCUUUCGCCUUUUACUAAAGAUUUCCGUGGAGAGGAACAAGCACGAGUGUCGUGGAAUUUUUUGAGGCUCCGCUUCGGCGGAGCUA
rnacentral:snRNA from 1 species